CAAAAGAAAAAUACUAGGGCGAUGGCGCUCUACAAUAUGCAUAGUCACAUUUGGUAACAUGACUUACGGUAUGUUUUUUCGCAUUUUCUUUGGUGCGUAUUCGUACAUCAAAAAGAGACAAAAUUUUAUUUGGUAACACGACUUACGCUGG